rnacentral:lncRNA from 1 species
AGGAGUUAAAUCUUUUUGUGCCGCUUAAACCACGUGUGGAGAUUCAUAUAAUCGUCCAGACUUUUAAAGCCUCGUAAAAUUUUAAUUUUAAUUUUUUAUAAAGGUGCGAUUUGUUUAAAUAUAAAUUUUAAUAGGUUUUGUUUUGUUUUGUUUUUAAGGCAUGAGCGAGCUGUGAGGGCUCAGCUCUUAGAUCAUGGAAUCUUCACCCACGUGUUCCCCGUGGCCCCUCCCCAGUGUUAAGAAGUUAAAAGGAUCUCGGGCCAUAAUGAAAUGACCACGGUGACCCCACCUUAGGUAAGAGCCCCCUCUAAACCCCCCAAAUUUAAAGCAAUCACUGUGGGGCCACACAAUUAACUAAAUCAUAGAAAUCUAAUUAAAUAAGCACCAUUAAUUUGUAUUUUA